UCUAUUAAAUUAUUUAUUUAGUUUGUAUGUAAUAUUGAGUUGGCGUAAUAUCCACACACACAUACAUAUAUAAAUAGCAUUACAUUUAUACAUUGCCUGUGUAUUUUACUGUAAUUAAGUUUUAACCAUACAAAACAACAAAAUGUUGUAUCCUUAGUCAUUUGUUAUUACAAAAUCAAAAAACAAAAAAAACCUAAAACAUAAAACAUAACAAAAAUGUAUAUGUAUAUCAUUAUUUCUUGAUCUCUCCCACAUUUCUGGGCUCUGGACAGACGGCGACUAGGCGACGACAACGACAAGUGUAGCGUAAGUCGAGUUUUAUAUAGUGUGCUUGUAUUUCUUCCUGAUAAGAAAUUGUAUUUGUCAAAUAAAACAAAAGAAAAAUAAUAAUUAAACAAAAGAACAAAACCCAAACCCGUUUAAUUUAAAUGGAGUAUUAAUUGCAUUACAAAGUGUUUGAGAUUUACGAUAAUCCUCUCAAAGGAGUUUUCAUACAUAUUGCUAGGAAGUGAUUAAAUAGAAUUAAAAUCGAAAAUCCUUCCCAAAGGCAUCUUCCAGAAUAGAACCAUAGCUUAAAUGAUAGAUUCUUAAAUUUGAUUUUGAUUUUUGCCGGAUUCAAGAAAAUAUAUACUUUUUGUCUCGGUUGCAAAUGAAUCAGUAAAAAACUCACGUUUUCAUUGGAACGGGCUUUGGCCAUUUUGAUCGAACUUGUUGUGGAAAUUCAGUUCAUGUUUUAGUACAUAGUGACAAAGACAACGUGGGAGGAACAUCUCGAGAGAUCAGCAUCUUAUUGUAGGAAAGAAAAGCAGUGUAUACGUGGAGUACUCGGAAGAAAGCCAUUUGGUGACCAGAUUAAAAAACGACAAAUGUAAUUUUUUGAGCAUAUAUUACGUAUAUUUUAGUAAUUUUCCCUCUAGUGCCACAUAUACUACUCUUGAACCAUUUUUUGAUUCCUUAAAAUUGCCUAGAAU
rnacentral:sRNA from 1 species